AUGUGGCUGACCUUCCCGCAGGAGAUGCCCCAGUUGCCCAGACAAGUGGCACCACCUGCCUGGGUGCAGUGGAACGUGCUCCUUCCACAUUGCAAGACAGCAGCAACACAGCCAGGAGAGGAGCCCCAGCUGCGACUCAGACAUUAUAAUCAAUUAAGAGGCAUCCCUAGAACAUCUGGUGACCAGUCAGACAUCCAAUUUAAGAAUUAUCACUUAAUAGAAAUAGGUAAUAUUUCUAAAGCAUGUCUAAUACUGAGAAGCAUAGAGGAAUUAAAGCAUAAACCAGGCAUGGUGUCUGCAUUAGUGACCAUGUAUAGCAAUGAAGAAGAUAUUGAUAGUGCCAUUGAGGUCUUCACACAAGCUAUCCAGUGGUAUCAGAACCAUCAACCCAAAUCUCCUGCUCAUUUGUCUUUGAUAAGAGAAGUUGCAAACUUCAAACUCAAAUAUGGGCGGAAGAAGGAGGCUAUUAGUGACCUAGAACAGCUAUGGAAAUAAAAUCCAAAAGAUAUUCAUACCUUGGCGCAGCUUAUUUCUACUUACUCACUUGUAGAUCCAGAGAAAGCCAAAGCUCUUAGUAAACACUUGCCCUCGUCGGAUAGUACGUCUCUAAAAGUAGAUGUUGAGGCUCUUGAAAGUUCUCCUGGUGCUACAUAUAUUCGGAAGAAGGGUGGAAAAGUCACUGGAGAUAGCCAACCAAAGGAGCAAGGGCAGGGAGAUUUGAAAAAGAAGAAAAAGAAGGGAAAACUGCCUAAGAAGUAUCACCCCAAAGUUACCCCAGAUCUAGAAAGAUGGCUACCAAUGUGAGAACGUUCUUACUACCGCGGAAGAAAGAAGGGUAAAAAGAAGGAUCAGAUUGGAAAAGGGACACAGAGCGCAACUGCCGUUGCUCCAUCAGAACUGGAUGCCAGUAAAACUGUGAGCAGCCCACCCACCUCCCCAAGACCUGGCAGUGCAGUAACAGUAUCUGCCUCUACAAGUAACAUCAUACCCCCAAGACACCAAAAACCUGCAGGGGCUCCAGCAACAAAAAAGAAACAGCAACAGAAAAAGAAGAAAGGUGGAAAAGGUGGCUGGUGAUUAGAACAUUCUUGUUGCGGGCUGUUUUUAAACUAUCUCAGUGACGCUGGGAGUAUAAUAAGGGUAACACAGCAAGAAGCAC